CUUCAACGGAGAGUUUGAUCCUGGCUCAGGACGAACGCUGGCGGCGUGCUUAACACAUGCAAGUCGAACGAUGAAGCCCAGCUUGCUGGGUGGAUUAGUGGCGAA
rnacentral:rRNA from 1 species